GACGAACGCUGGCGGCGUGCUUAACACAUGCAAGUCGAACGGAAAGGCCCUGCUUUUGUGGGGUGCUCGAGUGGCGAACGGGUGAGUAACACGUGAGUAACCUGCCCUUGACUUUGGGAUAACUUCAGGAAACUGGGGCUAAUACCGGAUAGGAGCUCCUGCUGCAUGGUGGGGGUUGGAAAGUUUCGGCGGUUGGGGAUGGACUCGCGGCUUAUCAGCUUGUUGGUGGGGUAGUGGCUUACCAAGGCUUUGACGGGUAGCCGGCCUGAGAGGGUGACCGGCCACACUGGGACUGAGAUACGGCCCAGCCUCCUCCGGGAGGCAGCAGUGGGGAAUAUUGCACAAUGGGCGGAAGCCUGAUGCAGCAACGCCGCGUGCGGGAUGACGGCCUUCGGGUUGUAAACCGCUUUCGCCUGUGACGAAGCGUGAGUGACGGUAAUGGGUAAAGAAGCACCGGCUAACUACGUG
rnacentral:rRNA from 1 species